AUUUAGAAAGUGUAUUUUUUCUUUGAAAUAUUUAACAUGACGUCAGAGACGUUUAUUGAGAUUUAGCAUUAUUUAUCUGGGUCGAUGGAGGGCGCUGGAAAUUUGCCUUGCCAAGAUCGACAAAGAUUUAAAGUUCAGCCCGUCGUGACUUUACAGUAGAAUUCAAGAAAAUCGGUACAAGUCCAAUGUUAUUGAACAUGCUCGAUGGUAUGCUCGAUGGUAUGCUCGAUGGUAUGCUAGGUCGCAUGCUUGAUGGUGUACUUGAUGCAUCGUAUGA